UGUUUUAUUUAUAAUGCAACAACAAAAUUUGGAUAAAGUUCUAUUAAUGUGUUAAUCCUGUAUUAAUAUAGUUAUAAAUGAAUAAUUUUGUGACAGCAGAGAAUUACAUACAAUUUCCAAACUGUCUGCAAACUUAGAAAAGGGUACACCGGUCACAACAAAGUUUGUAUAGUUAUAGAAGUACAUAAGUUUGAGAGAAAUUCUGUAACUUAAUUAACUGCUAGUGUAUGAACUGUUCAUUUAGACGUCUAAAGUUCAAGCAAACCUAAAUGUUUGUAUACAAAGACCAGUGCUUAGUAUAUUAUUAUAUUGUUUGAAAUGAAUACAAGAGGAAACGGUGGACGUAAAAAAUUGAAAUUAAUGCCCAAGCUUCUUAUUAAGUGCAAUAAAAGUUGGGACCAUUGUAUAUUUCCC